rnacentral:rRNA from 1 species
GAUGAACGCUGGCGGCGUGCCUAACACAUGCAAGUCGAGCGAACAGACGAGGAGCUUUCGCCUCUGAGGUUGUCGGCGGACGGGAGAGUAACACGUGGAUAACCUACCUCUCAGACUGGGGUAACAACGGGAAACCGGAUCUACUACCGGAUAAUAUAUUGAACCGCAUGGGUCAAGAGUUAAAGACGGUUUUGCGUAGAGUUAUAGAUGGAUACGGGCCGCAUUAGCUAGUUGGUAAGGUAACGGCUUAGCAAGGCUACGAUGCGUAGCCGACCUGAAAGGGUGAUCGGCUAGCCGGGAAGUGAGACACGGCACAGACUCCUACGGGAGGAAGCAGUAGGGAAUCCUACGGAAGGGGGGAAAGCCUGACGGAGCACAGCCGCGUGAGUGAUGAAGGUCUUAGGCUCGGAAAGCGAUGUUGUUAGGGAAGAACAAAAGUGCAAGUACCCAUGAAGGUAUUGACGGUACCGAAAGAGUAAGCUCCGGCUAACUACGUG